rnacentral:rRNA from 1 species
GACGAACGCUGGCGGCGUGCCUAAUACAUGCAAGUCGAGCGGAGUUAUUCCUUCGGGGAUAGCUUAGCGGCGGACGGGUGAGUAACACGUAGGCAACCUGCCUGCAAGACCGGGAUAACAUUCGGAAACGAAUGCUAAUACCGGAUACGCAGUUUCCCCGCAUGGGGAGGCUGGGAAAGGCGGCGCAAGCUGUCACUUGCAGAUGGGCCUGCGGUGCAUUAGCUAGUUGGUGGGGUAACGGCUCACCAAGGCGACGAUGCAUAGCCGACCUGGGAGGGUGAUCGGCCACACGGGGACUGAGACACGGCCCAGACUCCUACGGGAGGCAGCAGUAGGGAAUCUUCCGCAAUGGACGCAAGUCUGACGGAUCAACGCCGCGUGAGUGAUGAAGGUUCUCGGAUCGUAAAGCUCUGUUGCCAGGGAAGAACAGCCAGGCGAGUAACUGCGCUUGGAAUGACGGUACCUGAGAAGAAAGCCCCGGCUAACUACGUGCCUGCAGCCGCCGCGGUAA